rnacentral:rRNA from 1 species
GUCUACAGCCAUACCACCCUGAACGCGCCUGAUCUCAUCUGAUCUCAGAAGCUUAGCAGGGUCGGGCCUGGUUAGUACUUGGAUGGGAGGAAAACGUCUCAGUAAAUC